rnacentral:rRNA from 1 species
GACGAACGCUGGCGGCGUGCUUAACACAUGCAAGUCGAGCGGUAAGGCCUCUUCGGGGGUACACGAGCGGCGAACGGGUGAGUAACACGUGGGUGACCUGCCCUCAGCUCUGGGAUAAGCCUGGGAAACUGGGUCUAAUACCGGAUAUGACCUUUCCUCGCAUGGGGUUUGGUGGAAAGUUUUUUCGGCUGGGGAUGGGCCCGCGGCCUAUCAGCUUGUUGGUGGGGUGAUGGCCUACCAAGGCGACGACGGGUAGCCGGCCUGAGAGGGCGACCGGCCACACUGGGACUGAGACACGGCCCAGACUCCUACGGGAGGCAGCAGUGGGGAAUAAUGCGCAAUGGGCGGAAGCCUGACGCAGCGACGCCGCGUGGGGGAUGACGGCCUUCGGGUUGUAAACCUCUUUCGACCCCGACGAAUUUGGACGGUAGGGGUAGAAGAAGCACCGGCCAACUACGUG